rnacentral:rRNA from 1 species
AGAGUUUGAUCCUGGCUCAGAGCGAACGCUGGCGGCGUGCCUAAUACAUGCAAGUCGAACGUGAAAGGCUUCGGCCUAGUAAAGUGGCGUACGGGUGAGUAACACGUAGGUAAUCUACCUAAGGGUGUGGAAUAACCUGCCGAAAGGCGGGCUAAUACCGCAUAGUGCGAAGACCUCUCAGGAGGUUUUCGGAAAAGGGAGCUCGCAAGGGCCCUCGCCUUUAGAUGAGCCUGCGUCCCAUUAGCUAGUUGGUAGGGUAACGGCCUACCAAGGCUAUGAUGGGUAGCUGGUCUAAGAGGAUGAUCAGCCACACUGGAACUGAAACACGGUCCAGACUCCUACGGGAGGCAGCAGUAGGGAAUAUUGCGCAAUGGACGCAAGUCUGACGCAGCAACGCCGCGUGAGUGAAGAAGGCCUUCGGGUUGUAAAGCUCUGUCUAGUGGGAAGAACAGCUUGUCGGUUAAUAGCCGAUGAGUCUGACGGUACCACUGGAGGAAGCACCGGCUAACUCCGUGCCAGCAGCCGCGGUAAUACGGAGGGUGCAAGCGUUGCUCGGAAUUAUUGGGCGUAAAGGGUAGGUAGGUGGUCUCAUUUGUCAGGGGUGAAAUCCCUGGGCUUAACCCAGGAAGUGCCUCUGAAACGGUGAGACUGGAGUGCUGGAGAGGGUCGCGGAAUUCCCGGUGUAGCGGUGAAAUGCGUAGAGAUCGGGAGGAACACCAGUGGCGAAGGCGAGUCCCUGGACAACUCCUGACACUGAGGCACGAAAGCUAGGGGAGCAAACAGGAUUAGAUACCCUAGUAGUCC